GAAUGCUGACAUAAGUAACGAUAAAGCGGGUGAAAAGCCCGCUCGCCGGAAGACCAAGGGUUCCUGUCCAACGUUAAUCGGGGCAGGGUGAGUCGACCCCUAAGGCGAGGCCGAAAGGCGUAGUCGAUGGGAAACGGGUUAAUAUUCCCGUACUUGGUGUUACUGCGAAGGGGGGACGGAGAAGGCUAUGUUGGCCGGGCGACGGUUGUCCCGGUUUAAGCGUGUAGGUGUGUGUUCCAGGUAAAUCCGGUUCACUUUAACACUGAGGCGUGAUGACGAGGCACUACGGUGCUGAAGCAACAAAUGCCCUGCUUCCAGGAAAAGCCUCUAAGCAUCAGGUAACAUCAAAUCGUACCCCAAACCGACACAGGUGGUCAGGUAGAGAAUACCAAGGCGCUUGAGAGAACUCGGGUGAAGGAACUAGGCAAAAUGGUGCCGUAACUUCGGGAGAAGGCACGCUGACACGUAGGUGAAGUGAUUUACUCACGGAGCUGAAGUCAGUCGAAGAUACCAGCUGGCUGCAACUGUUUAUUAAAAACACAGCACUGUGCAAACACGAAAGUGGACGUAUACGGUGUGACGCCUGCCCGGUGCCGGAAGGUUAAUUGAUGGGGUCAGCGCAAGCGAAGCUCCUGAUCGAAGCCCCGGUAAACGGCGGCCGUAACUAUAACGGUCCUAAGGUAGCGAAAUUCCUUGUCGGGUAAGUUCCGACCUGCACGAAUGGCGUAAUGAUGGCCAGGCUGUCUCCACCCGAGACUCAGUGAAAUUGAACUCGCUGUGAAGAUGCAGUGUACCCGCGGCAAGACGGAAAGACCCCGUGAACCUUUACUAUAGCUUGACACUGAACAUUGAGCCUUGAUGUGUAGGAUAGGUGGGAGGCUUUGAAGUGUGGACGCCAGUCUGCAUGGAGCCGACCUUGAAAUACCACCCUUUAAUGUUUGAUGUUCUAACGUGGACCCGUGAUCCGGGUUGCGGACAGUGUCUGGUGGGUAGUUUGACUGGGGCGGUCUCCUCCUAAAGAGUAACGGAGGAGCACGAAGGUUGGCUAAUCCUGGUCGGACAUCAGGAGGUUAGUGCAAUGGCAUAAGCCAGCUUGACUGCGAGCGUGACGGCGCGAGCAGGUGCGAAAGCAGGUCAUAGUGAUCCGGUGGUUCUGAAUGGAAGGGCCAUCGCUCAACGGAUAAAAGGUACUCCGGGGAUAACAGGCUGAUACCGCCCAAGAGUUCAUAUCGACGGCGGUGUUUGGCACCUCGAUGUCGGCUCAUCACAUCCUGGGGCUGAAGUAGGUCCCAAGGGUAUGGCUGUUCGCCAUUUAAAGUGGUACGCGAGCUGGGUUUAGAACGUCGUGAGACAGUUCGGUCCCUAUCUGCCGUGGGCGCUGGAGAACUGAGGGGGGCUGCUCCUAGUACGAGAGGACCGGAGUGGACGCAUCACUGGUGUUCGGGUUGUCAUGCCAAUGGCACUGCCCGGUAGCUAAAUGCGGAAGAGAUAAGUGCUGAAAGCAUCUAAGCACGAAACUUGCCCCGAGAUGAGUUCUCCCUGAGACUUAGAGUCUCCUGAAGGAACGUUGAAGACGACGACGUUGAUAGGCCG
rnacentral:rRNA from 1 species